AACAAGCAAAACCUAGAAACAAGAUGUUGAAGUUUUUGUCAAAGCAGCUUUAUCGAUAAUUCACACCAAACCAAUGAUUCAAAUGCCCCCAUUAGCAGAAAUCAAACUCAAAUAUCAAAUCCAUCAAACCCAAUAAGAAUCAAACAACAACCGAUAUUAAAAAAAAAGAAAAGGAUAGAGAAGCAAAGAAGAAGAAAAAAGGUGAAAGAGACCAUCUUUUUCGCCUUUAUCUCAAACACCCAAAACCACGAAAGCUUCAUCUUCAUCUUCGAUGCCGAGGUUUCAAAUACAGUCGCAUUGAACUUCUAUUGGUGUCGAAAUGAGGUGGAACAGGCGGUGACAAAAG
rnacentral:lncRNA from 1 species